AAACCAGAAAAGGGACCAACAGGGAACCAGGCUUACGGAAUACCUCACGAGCCAAUUGUGAACCGAAUUUGGAACACACCGGACCGCUGAUACAGUAAAGAGUUCCAUAUCGGCAGAGGCGGGUGAAAGUUUGGUUGAUAAUGAGAAAGGAGUCGGUAGAGAUCAUCUCGUCGAUUUCAUUGGCUGCCCAGCUCGUCAGCGGGGCCCCCAAAUGGCAGUUUCUGUGAGAAGUUAAAAGUCUUAAAGGAAAGUGUUCAUGCUUCGGGACAUCAAAAGUGUAGGGACUAGCCUGACAAUGUAACGAUGUUGAAUUAAACAUUCUCAUUUUUUUGCCAAAAGCUGCAAUGCUACUAUGGUUUAAAAUUGUUCUGCCGAAAAAAAGUCAUAACAACAGCCUCUUCCAAGUUAUUGAGAUAAUUUGCAUUUCUUGAAAUUCAAAAUUAAUGGUAGCAGAUGUUACAGAAAGCAACAGAGAAAGGUACGUUUUACUAAUAAUCAUGUUCAAGUGUUUAUGAUGUGUUCUAGGAACUUGUCAGUAAAAGUGUUCCGCUUAUAACAUCUAUAACGUCACAGCAACUAAGCAAAUAGCAAAGUAAUAGCCUGGGAUACAGGAAAUAUCAACUGGAUGAGCCCAUUGAAAACAUUUCUCAUCAGAUGUAAUUUUCAUGGGAAAUGAAUACUGUAUUUGUUUUCUAGGUAAACUGCCAGAGUUUACUGUAUAACUGUGCAAAUAGGCGCAUACAGGCAUAUACGUGAGAUAAGCAUAUGAGCAGUUAGAAAACAGUAAAAGAGAAAGCAAAAAAUGUAAAUCAGCAUUUUAAUGUGGACCACUUGAGCCGUUACCAUACCCUGUCCUGUGUACUGCAUGGUGGUCCGGACCACUCGGGCAAAACUAUGGUACAGUGUUGUGUGUACCGUAGAGUGGUCUGGACCACACAGGCUACAAAGCAGCCUGUGUGGUCCGACCUCUGCUUGGCCUGAGUGUCUGAAGAUAAUCUCUCUGGAUUCUAGGGCUCUUAUAAAUGGGGAAAUAAUGCAAUCUAAAGUAAUUAAAAAAAGCUUUGGAAAUAAAAACUGGGAUACACUGAAAAAGGUAAAGACAUUUUGGAAGUAUAUUCAUUUUGAUAGAAUUGACCCAUCAGCAGGAGAGGCAGUGUGGACUAACAAAUCAAGUCAAGUUUAGUAAGCUCCAAGACUUCGGGUGCAUGAUCAGAUAUCACAAUACUCUGAUAGGAGCACGAAUGGACAAAAGGAAGCAAUUUAGUAGCAAUUAUUUUUGAAUAUUGCAAAAUAUGUUUCUAUGCAGGAUAUGUUUUAAACAUAUGUGUUUCAUGUGAAAAAUAAAUGAUCAGAAAUUACUUAAUUAUAAUAAAAA